rnacentral:misc_RNA from 1 species
AUUUACAGAUCUUGGUAUGGACCUUCUUUAACUUUCUGUAGCGCUUCAUAUAAAGGCUUCUGAUUCUUCUUCUUCAGAUACUUUCCAGUAUAAUGGACGAGACGCUCAACGGCAAGAGAAAUGGCAGCGAUGACGGUGCAGACGGUGGCCACCACCCAAGUAGGGGUAAAUUCCAAUGUUGACCCUUCUGCUUCUCCUUCUCCGCCACUCAUUUCUCUUCCCUUUAAUCUACCUAAAUUCAAAACUCUUCUUCUUCUUCACAAAUGUAACUCAAAAAUGGAC